GAUUGUACAGCAGUCUAACUUGUAUCUUUAUGUGGUUUCUGAGAAUUAGUGUUGUAGAAAGGAUUGAGUUUGUGUCAUGCAAUUUGCCAUUUAACAUACUUUGGAACAUGCAGAUUCUCAGAGAACUGUGAACUUACCAAGUCAGAUAAAUUCAGUUUGUGGUAGCCUAGCCAAUUAAGAUGUUUAAACAGGCGUGAGCCACUGCGCCCAGCCCUACCAGCUAAUUCUUUCUGAGAUUUUCUAGGAUGUUUGUUUGUAAACAUGUCUGGAGGAAAUAUGAUGAAAAAUUGAUCUUUGUGAGUGGUAGUGAAAUCAAUAAUUAAAGUGAAUUUUACUUUCUGUUGCUGCUCAGUUUGUGAUUAACAUCAGAAAACAUAUUUCUAUUUAAUUUCAACUAUUUCCUUUAUUAAGGCAUUUGAUACUAUAAUUGCUCUUAUCUUUCACUUUAUUUUUUCUUUAAUUGUAUCAAAUUAACUAUGUCUUUGGAGAUUGUCUGAUUGUUACCUUUGUUUCAGGCUUUCAAGAUGAAUCUGGAAAAACUCAGCAAGCCUGAACUCCUGACACUAUUUAGUAUUCUUGAAGGAGAGCUUGAAGCAAGGGACCUUGUUAUAGAAGCCUUAAAGGUAUGUUAAAAGAAAAAAAAAAA
rnacentral:sRNA from 1 species